CCUCUGCUGAGAAAGGCUCCAGCCGCUUUCGGUUUCCGUCUGAGUCUGACACGUUCAGGGAUUGGAGCUGCCAGACCCGGCUCGUCCCCCGCCCCAGGAUGUGGGUCGGCAGCUGCAGGGCAGGGCCGGGCGCCCAGUGCUGUGGGGGGGGGUCACGACCCCCGCUCUAACUCACCAAACACCUCUCCAGCCAGCCAGGGAAAGAACCUAGGAGUCCUGCUCCCAGGUCCCGCCCCAGCUGGAGGAGGAACAGAGUGUCACACAGCGGCUGAGCUGGGCUCUGGGUGUCCUGGGACUUCUCCUCUCACUUUCCAGAUCGGCUGGGGCUGGUGACCGAGCAGGAAAGACGCUGCCCCCCGCUGAAUUCAGCCGGCUUCAACGCUGAGCGACCAGCCCCUGACGAGCACGGCUCGUCCCUGACGCUGGAGGACUGGGUGUUCCUGCUGAAAUGAUCAGCAAUGAUGGGGGGGGGCCCUAGCGCCAGUGAGAAUCCAGCCCUGCCCUGCCAGCCUUUGUGGCUGCAAAGAAAACAGUUCCAAAUGUGAUCUCUUCCAGACAGGCUUUUCUGCCUGAGUGUGCAGAGAGUCUGAGCCAAAAGCCCUGUGAGUGGCACGCAUUGCCUUAUUUCCAGUGUUGGCGUGUUAACUCUGAAACCUAAUGAUGACACAGUGAGCUAUUUCACUGCUCGUUCCAGCUAUGGGUCGGCCCAGGCAUAGUGCCUGAGGUUGGAGCCACUUGUUGCUGGGCGGGGGAGAAUUUGGGAGAAACACUCCCUUUGCGUGCGCCUCUGGGGCAGAGCACCUUGAACACCAGCUGUUGACACCCUCCUAUCCAU